rnacentral:rRNA from 1 species
UACGUAGGGGGCAAGCGUUGUCCGGAUUUAUUGGGCGUAAAGAGCGUGUAGGCGGCCAGAUAGGUCCGUUGUGAAACUCGAGGCUCAACCUCGAGACGCCGAUGGAAACCAUCUGGCUAGAGUCCGGAAGAGGAGAGUGGAAUUCCUGGUGUAGCGGUGAAAUGCGCAGAUAUCAGGAAGAACACCCGUGGCUAAGGCGGCUCUCUAGUACGGUACUGACGCUGAGACGCGAAGCGUGGGAGCGAACAGG